rnacentral:tRNA from 4 species
GCCGACUUAGCUCAGUAGGUAGAGCAACUGACUUGUAAUCAGUAGGUCACCAGUUCGAUUC